rnacentral:rRNA from 1 species
AACGAACGCUGGCGGCAUGCCUAACACAUGCAAGUCGAACGAGACCUUCGGGUCUAGUGGCGCACGGGUGCGUAACGCGUGGGAAUCUGCCCUUGGGUUCGGAAUAACAGUGAGAAAUUACUGCUAAUACCGGAUGAUGUCUUCGGACCAAGGAUUUAUUGACCCGGGAUGAGCCCGCGUAGGAUUAGCUGGUUGGUAGGGUAAUGGCCUCCUAAGGCGACGAUUCUUAGCUGGUCUGAGAGGAUGAUCAGCCACACUGGGACUGAGAAACGGCCCGGAAUCCUACGCGAGGGAGGAGUGGGUGAUAGUGGAAAGUGGCGGCAGGCAUGAUCCAGCAAGGACGGGUGAGUGAUGAAGUCCUUAGGGUUCUAAAGCUCUUUUAACUGGGAUGAUAAUGACGGUACCGGGAGAAUAAGCCACGGCUAACUACGUG